AUUGAACGCUGGCGGCAGGCCUAACACAUGCAAGUCGAACGAGUGGCGGACGGGUGAGUAAUGUCUGGGAAACUGCCUGAUGGAGGGGGAUAACUACUGGAAACGGUAGCUAAUACCGCAUACCAUCAGAUGUGCCCAGAUGGGAUUAGCUUGUUGGUGGGGAAACGGCUCACAAAGGCGACGAUCCCUAGCUGGUCUGAGAGGAGGACCCGCCACACUGGAACGGAGACACGGUCUAGUCUCAUACGGGAGGAAGCAGUGGGGAAUAUUGCACAAUGGGCGCAAGCCUGAUGCAGCCAUGCCGGGUGUAUGAAGAAGGCGUUCGGGUUGUAAAGUACUUUAAGCGGGGAGGCGUUACCCGCAGAAGAAGCACCGGCUAACUCCGUGCCAGCGGCCGCGGUAAUA
rnacentral:rRNA from 1 species